GACGAACGCUGGCGGCGUGCCUAAUACAUGCAAGUUGAGCGCUGAAGGUUGGUACUUGUACCAACUGGAUGAGCAGCGAACGGGUGAGUAACGCGUGGGGAAUCUGCCUUUGAGCGGGGGACAACAUUUGGAAACGAAUGCUAAUACCGCAUAAAAACUUUAAACACAAGUUUUAAGUUUGAAAGAUGCAAUUGCAUCACUCAAAGAUGAUCCCGCGUUGUAUUAGCUAGUUGGUGAGGUAAAGGCUCACCAAGGCGAUGAUACAUAGCCGACCUGAGAGGGUGAUCGGCCACAUUGGGACUGAGACACGGCCCAAACUCCUACGGGAGGCAGCAGUAGGGAAUCUUCGGCAAUGGACGAAAGUCUGACCGAGCAACGCCGCGUGAGUGAAGAAGGUUUUCGGAUCGUAAAACUCUGUUGGUAGAGAAGAACGUUGGUGAGAGUGGAAAGCUCAUCAAGGGACGGGAACUACCCAGAAAGGGACGGCUAACUACGU
rnacentral:rRNA from 1 species